GUUUUUCUUGUAUUUAAUUUAAUCUUAUAUAUCUGUGCAAGGCUGUUUCUUGCUUUUUGUUGUCUUUUCUCUAUUGGUUAAGAGUCUAAGCUAGUUUCUUUCUUUUUGAAUUAAUGAAUAUGAAGGGAAAAGUUGGAAAUUAUUUGGAAUUUGGUAUAAUUUUUUUAUUAACAAUUAGCCCAAAACUUAUGUUUCAAUCUGAUUUUGUUUUGUGUUUUUGCAGACCAUUUACAUCUUAUAUUUUGUAUGCUUUUAU
rnacentral:misc_RNA from 1 species